GCGUCGUGUCGGCCUGGCAAGUCACGGGUGACGGACCAAGGGCAGCCCGCGAGGAUCGGGGUGUUUGUCGGAGGGUGAGUGGGCUACAAAGCUGUGGGCCUUCUUCAUCUGCCUCUACGUCCUGUAUUUAUUUAUUUGUUUUUUCCCGGAGCUCUGAAGGUAUGCGCACGCUUUGCACGCCGCCUCUGGAGGCUAGGAAUUGCCUUUUGCUCCUGAGGCCAGUGAAGGAGAAACAGCAGCCUGAGCAUGGCUUACCCGUGACCAACAAGGCGAGGAGCAGUUCACACCUCCUCUUGCCAAGCUCCAUCAGAAUGUGUUGCAUGAGCUUCCUACUGAAGGGGACACUCCAGAAAGAACUGCCUUUCAGAACUUGAAGUCGAACCAGUAUUGCCGAAAGUAUCAGCAUUUAUGUCAGUCUUACUUUUCUCAUUUCAGUAGUUCAGAUUUCAUGGAAAAUUCUUUGAGAUCCUCAGCACGUGGAAGAUUAGAGUCAGUAAUUUAGUAUUAUAAUAAGGAGUAAUUAGGGCCUUUCAUAGAUACCAGAAGGUGAUCAAGGAAAACUCUCUUCUUCCUUUGCAAGUCUUGUGUAGUGCUAUCAGGAUUAAAGGAAGCGCAACUCAUGGUUAAUGAAGUUUUUACUCUUCUAUUAAAAUAAAACUUAAUCUCUUAAAAUGCUGUCCCUUUUGCCUUUCAUACAUAAUUUCUGUCCCGACUUCGUCUAUUUUAGCAUAAUCAUAUGCCAUACGUAGCCCAGACAAACAUUUUUAGAUUUUAUUAAUUUUAAAAUAUUGUGAAGUAGACACGCAAGUGUAUCCUCUCUAUAUAUUGACAGCCUAAGUCAUGUAGCUGUAAAUUCAUCUUAGACUCUUUCCACUAACACAUUGAACACAAUGACCUUACAGGAAAAUAACUAUCGGUGUUUCAGUGUGGCAAUGCUGCAGCUUUUCAGUUAGGAUUAUUAAAAAGCUCAAACAGUAAUCUCCUAGAAGUGCAGAAUGGCAGUCAUUUUAGAUACCAUUUUUUUGGACUCCGGUUUAAGAGGGUGAUUUGUAACAGUAGAUGGUGGAGUGAUUAAUGAGAUCUCUGUAGAUUUUUGCAUAGCUUCCUACCUAAAGGGGAAAAAAAAAAACCCCAACACAAAACAGUAAGGACAGAUUAGUUGUGUGCCUUUCACCUCUUCCUGUAAAAUGUUACAUGGACUCCGAAAGGUUUUAUUUUGAAUGAUAGCCAUUUCAGCAAGAAUUUUAGCAGAUGCAGAGGAUGUUCAAGAAACUUCUGAAAGUUCCUUAUGUUCUGCUUUGUAAAGUCUGUUAGGCACACUUGGCACAAGCUAUGAAUCUGACCCUAAUUUUCAAGCAUUUGAAAGGUCCAAGUAAAAUGACAUUUCCGUAAUACUUUUAUUCUUUCCCUUUUUUCCAAGUGUAUAUUAAGUACGCAUCU